rnacentral:misc_RNA from 1 species
GAUGAAGAACGCAGCGAAAUGCGAUAAGUAAUGUGAAUUGCAGAAUUCAGUGAAUCAUCGAAUCUUUGAACGCACAUUGCGCCCGCCAGUAUUCUGGCGGGCAUGCCUGUUCGAGCGUCAUUUCAACCCUCAGGCCCCCAGUGCCUGGUGUUGGGGAUCGGCCCAGCCUUCCUGUAAGGCCGCCGGCCCCGAAAUCUAGUGGCGGUCUCGCUGUAGUCCUCCUCUGCGUAGUAGCACAACCUCGCAGUUGGAACGCGGCGGUGGCCAUGCCGUUAAACACCCCACUUCUGAAAGUUGACCUCGGAUCAGGUAGGAAUACCCGCUGAACUUAAGCAUACAAUAAGCGGAGGA